rnacentral:rRNA from 1 species
UUAAUUUACACCAAUAAGCGCCAGGGAAUUACGAGCAAUGCUUAAAACCCAAAGGAUUUGACGGUGUCCCACCCCACUAGAGGAGCCUGUUCUAUAAUCGAUGAUCCCCGAUAUACCCGACCAUUUCUCGCUUAUCAGUCUGUAUACCUCCGUCGAAAGCUUACCAUGUGAACGCUUGCAGUAGGCUUAAUGACCUAACACGUCAAUACGUCAGGUCAAGGUGCAGCUUAAGAAAUGGGAAGUAAUGGGCUACAAUUUCUAAUCUAGAACAAACGAAAGACUAUAUGAAAUUAUAAUCAUGAAGGUGGAUUUAGUAGUAAAAAGAAAAUAGAGUGUUCUUUUUAACCCGGCUCUGGGACGCGUACACACCGCCCGUCACCCUCUUCGAUAGUAUCUCACCCCGUUCCUAACCCACUAUUACAUUUUAGAAGAGGCAAGUCGUAACAUGGUAAGUGUACUGGAAAGUGCACUUGGUUUAUA